UAGAUAAACACUAUUUGAGAAAAAAAGCGCGGGAAACUUCGUUUAUGGUAGACGUAUUUUUCACGGUGGUGAAAAUUUAAUUUAAUUUUAUAGUUAAAACGCGGAGGAUAAGCUGGUAGUGUAAGUUUUAGUAAUAUAUGUAAUCUUUGUAUCAUAUUUGUGUAUAGUGUCAUCGUAUAGUUGGUAAGUUUUUAUAAUUUUUGUAAAUAUUGUAUGAACGAGCCCCCCGAUCUCGAUCGGGGGGAUGAUGGCUAUGUUGGCCUGAAUCUCCCCGUGGGAUCAUAUGUAACUGUUGUUUCACAAGAUGAAUUUGAUAAAAUGGAUACGGAUUGUUCGUUAUCAUCUCAGACAGGUGAAGGAAGUCGUAAACGAACACGUUAUCUACGCCUUUGUCGGCAGUGUACGAAAAGGAGAAAUAAGAAAGGUGGUUCUAGCGGUGAUUACUGUCAGUGCGAAAGUUUAUGCAAUAUGGAAGAUGAGUCAAUUUUAAUAAAAAAGAUUACUUCUAAAAGUUCUAAACCUAUAUCUCAAUCGACGUCAUCUUCACACUCGCAAAAUAAUAAUAAUUCACAUAAAACGUCCUCUCAACCAUCAACAUCUUAUACGGAAAAUUCAAAUAUCUCUCAAGACUCUAACGCGGGAAAUUCAAAUAUCUCUCAAGACUCUAACGCGGGAAAUUCAAAUAACACGAAAACUACAGUAACCAAUACAGACUCCCGUUGGAUCGGCCGGACUGAAUAUGUUCUUACUGAUGUUUCCCCUUAUUUGAUACACGUUCAACGUAUACAAAGUUCACCUGAUGACGGGACCGUUCUCCAUCCUAUAACUUUUGGCAAUUUUUUAAAGCAGAACAAAUUUGAAAAUAUUAUUCCCGGUAGUGUAAAACGUAUAGGAAGAAAUAGGUGCGUAGUUGGCUUUUCCGAUUACAAAGACGCCAAUAACUUUCUUAACUGCAAUUUUUUGGAAACGAAAAAGUUAAAAGCCUUCAUUCCGACUUUCAACGUAACAAGGAUGGGGCUAGUUCGUGGGGUCCCUGUAGAUUGGAGUGUAGAGGAAGUUCAACGAAAUGUAUCCGUUCCUUUAGGCUGCGGCAAAAUACUUAAAAUAAGACGUUUGAAUCGCAAGGUGAAAAUUAAUGACUCGGUUUCUUGGAAACCCUCUGAAUCCGUUGUAAUAACGUUUGAUGGGCAAGUUUUACCAAAACGGAUUUUUAUGUGCUAUAAUGCUCUUCCAGUAGAGAUAUAUAUUUUUCCUACAAUACAAUGCUAUAAAUGCUGUCGUUAUGGUCAUACCAAAGUACAAUGUCGUUCUAAGACUCCAAUAUGUUAUAACUGUGGAGGUCAACAUGCAGGUGUCUCAUGUGACAGGUCAGAUGAAGAUCCUCUAUUCUGCGUAAUGUGUAAAGUUGAAGGGUCUCAUUCAGCGAUAGACAAGUCAUGUCCAGAGUUUGUGAGACAGACAGAAAUCAAACUUAAAAUGGCUCAGAGCUGCAUGUCUUACGCAGAAGCUAGUAAAUGUUUUCCUUCUGUUAAGCCUUCAUACGCAGAUGCACUAAGUUCAACGAUUCCAGAAGUACCGAAACCUGCAUAUGUUCCCACAACGAUGUCUGCAUCUCAUAACAAUUUUACUAAUUCAUCAUAUAAAAAGACAGUAUUUUUAAAACCUCGGUCUCCUCCUAAGCAUCAAUAUGGUUAUGAUCGCGUUGCUCAUAAAUAUUUAUUAAAAGAUUUCCAGGUUUCAGAGCCUAAAAAUGGCUGUGCUCUGGUAGAUAAAAGUAAAGAGGAAGAAAACUCUGAUGUCUUAGAAAUGAUACUAGCUUUAUUAAGUACUUUAAUAAACUCAAACUUACUAAAACCGUCCCACGUUGCCUCUAUUAAUGAAAAAAUAAAAUCAAUUAAUGUUAAUAAAAAUAAUGGAUUGCAAAAUAAUUCAAUGGAAUUGUAGGAGUAUUGUUCCAAAGAAACAUGAUUUAAUAUAUUUGUUAAAUAAACAUUCUCCUGUUGUUGUCGCAUUAUCCGAGACGUGGUUAAAGCCAGGAUACCUAUUUAAGGUCCCUGGAUAUACCUGCUUACGUGAUGAUAGAUACGAUGGCUAUGGUGGUGUAGCAUUACUCGUCAGGAACUCAAUUGAUUUUUCUAGAAUAUCAUUUUCUUCAUUAAUUUCUAAUGAUGCCAUUAAUAUUGUCGGCAUCAAAAUUGAUAGUAUUUCUAUAGUUUCCAUUUAUCUCGCUCGUUCCUCUUUUAUUAUUCUCAAUAGCAUUAAUAAUUUACUCUCUUCACUUAGUGAUCCAUUCCUACUAUUAGGUGACUUUAACUGUCAUCACCAAAUGUUUGGUUGUGGCACCACUGACACUAAUGGUGUACAUUUAGUAGAAAUAUUAGAUUUACAAAACUUGUGUUUACUUAAUACUGGCUCACCAACCAGACGCACAAAGCCUAAUGAGAAGCCUAGUGCAGUUGACUUAUCAAUUUGUACCCCAGAUCUUGCUUCUUCUCAUUCUUGGUACACCUCAUCAUCUACUUUUGGCAGUGAUCAUUUCCCGAUUAUCAUAUCCUCUCCUAUUAGACGCCCUCCUUAUCAAAAACGAAAACCUCGUGUGAAAUAUAAAUUAAAUAAUGCUGAUUGGUCUGCAUUUAAGAACCUUGUCGAAUCUAAAAUAAAAGAUUUGCCUGAAUUAGUUAGCGGUGGUGAGACCAAUUCUUCUAGAGCUCUGGCUACAUGUUUAAUAGAAUCUGCCGAUCAGAUUUUUUCUGUUAAACGAAAUCCAUCCAAUAAGAUUCCAUAUCCUCCAUGGUGGGAUAGAGAAUGUAUGGAUGCUGUAAGUAAAAGAAAGGUAGCUGAGAGAGUCUAUGCUGAGGACAUGUCCAAUGAAAACUUAGAUAUUCUCAAUGAAGUUAUUUGUAUUACACGUAAAUUCCUCAGAGAUAAAAAGCAGGAAGGCUGGAAAACAUUUUGUACAUCUUUAUCUCCUUCUACGUGCCCUACAGAAGUUUGGCGCAGUAUUAAACGAUUUCGGUCUGCUUUCAAAGAAUCUUUAUCAUCAUCUUCACUUCCCCCUUCUUUAACAAAUGCCUUUUUAGACAGAUUAGCUCCUCCAUCAGUUGCUGAAUCGAUCUACUUUCCUUUAGAAUCAUCUUUGACAGAUGACUCUUCCUCUUUAAACUCUCCUUUUUCACUACAUGAAUUAAAAGGUGUGCUUUCACAUGUUAAAGAUUCAUCUCCAGGUCAGGAUGGUAUUAUGUACUCAUUUUUAUCUCAUCUUGGUAAUAGUGCUUUAAUGUAUUUUUUAAAUUUAAUAAAUUCAGUCAUGGUCACAGGUAAUAUUCCUGAAACAUGGAAGUCUCAAGAAGUUAUAGCGAUUAAAAAACCUAACAAACCUACCAAUGAUGUUGCCUCAUAUAGGCCUAUUGCGCUGUCCUCUGUUUUAACUAAGGUUGCUGAACAUCUUGUGAAGAAUCGUUUGGAAUGGUUUAUUGAAAACAAUAAUUUCAUAGCCAAUAGUCAAUACGGUUUCCGGAAGUCAAAAUCUACAAUAGACAAUUUAGCUAUAUUAACCACAGAUAUUCGCUUAGCUUUUUCGCGCGAUGAAGAUAUUGUAGCUGCCUUUUUGGACAUCGCUGCCGCUUAUGAUAAUGUGAACAUUUCUAUUUUACAACGCAAAUUAUUAGAGCUACAGGUUCCUACAUUAUUAAUUCAUUUUAUCAUCAAUUUACUAUCCUGCAGAUACAUAUCAUUAUUCGUUCAGAAAGACGGUAAUACUACUGAGUUAAAGCGUACAGUUUUUAAAGGCCUUCCCCAAGGUUCAGUACUUAGCCCACUUUUAUAUAACAUUUAUACAUAUGAUUUAGAAUCAUCUUUAUAUUCCCACAUAAAUGUGCUACAAUAUGCAGAUGAUUUGCUUUUUUAUUCCGUAAAUAAAUCUAUAGAUAUCGCUUGCAAUUUCAUGUCUAAUUCACUUAAUAGUUUAAAUGUGUGGUUAGUUAAAAAUGACUUAAAUUUAUCCGUAUCCAAAAGUUCAAUAGUUGUAUUUUCUAAAAAACGUACAACUCCUGUCAUAAAUGUGACCUUCAAUGGUCAAUCUCUGCCAUAUCAAACAAAAAUUAAAUUUUUAGGAGUUAUAUUAGAUUCAAAAUUGUCUGGACUUGCCCAUUAUGAACAUAUUGAUAUGAAAUGUGCACAGCUACUUAAUAUCAUGAAAUGCCUCUCAGGUGUAUGGUGGGGUGCUCAUCCGUUUUCUAUGAAACUUGUGUAUAACGCUCUUCUCCGGAUAUAAGAUAUGAUAUAGGUGUCGGUAAACAAGAUAUUCGGGAGACAAAUAUUCGUUUCAUGAGUAGCGUUGAGGAACAAAAUUGGAGUGGAUGGGAUUAUAUUUUUACAGAUGCCUCUAAAAUCUCUAUUGAUGAUUGUGUUGGAGUCGGUCUAGUUCAUUGGCAACAUAAAAUAAUACAAAAGAUUAAACUUCCUCCUGAA